GCGCCGUCUACGUAACCUUUGACCUUCCGCGUUUUUUCGGCCUCAAGAACGUCGCGACCACAGAAAAAGGCCUUCCUUCCUCUGCAGCUGCGAUAGCGCCCUCAAGUGUGGGGAGGCUGCGCUCCCGUGGCGCGGACGCUGGCGGCGUGAGGUGUAGGUUUCGGGUUACCGGUGGUUUCCGUGGCUCCGACUCCCGGGAGUAAGUUUCCGUGGAAGGAGGUGCCCACUCAACGUUUUUCAAAGCUGGACUCGCCAUCUCACCUUUAAACCUGUUUCUUCUCGAGAGCAUGGGAUUUGGAAUCAGGAGGCCCAGGUUCAAAUGCUACUUUCAACAAUAUUUUAGCCUGUGACCUGUCUAACAGUGAGCUCACUAACUGGAGAAACCUGAGCUAGCCUGCUGGAGAAUGAGAGAUCAUUUGAAGCAGAAUAAGUAGACGGAGCUGAGGUCUCUCCAGAACAACCAGCCUACCAACUAUCAGAACCUCCAAAGAAGCUCUCAAGGUUCGUUUGUAGAAGAACGUAGGAUAAUCAAGCUUCCAAGACUCCAGACAUAUCCAAAUGAGGCGCUGCAUGUGGCAAGCUACCUUUCUUAAAAAAAAAUAAAGUGGAGCACUAUAAUGAAUACAUGACUGCAGAAAUAAAAAGCUUGGACAAGGGAGGCACCAGAAAGAACCUUGAAUGUGCUGAUUUAGAUCAGAAGCUUAGUUUAUAAGAACUGAGUAUAUAAUGGAAAUGGCUAUAAGCAAAUUUCUGUGAGCAGUUCCAGGAACCCCAAUAGUCAGCGUCCAAAUGGCCAUGAGAGUCAGUUUGAUCUGUCACUUAGGGGAUAAAUUAGUGGUCUGGAGAAGAAAGGAUCUUGGAUCUGGAGGGAAUUUAGUCUGGGCUUGGGUGGAAAUAUUUUUGAUUAACAGGAGAGAAUAACCUCAAGGAUCAGAUAUAGAGAAAAGUGCUUUUGACAAGAUGGGGAGUAAACAAAGGAUGAUUUUAAAGAAAAUGCAUUCAUUAAUGUAUUCAUUCAUUAGUAGUAGGCACUAUAAAAUGGGGGAAACACAUAGACUGUGCCUUCAAGAAUCUUGGUCCUGAUGUGAUGAUUCACCUCAAAUGACA